rnacentral:pre_miRNA from 13 species
UCUGGUCAUGCCCGGUGGCAAUAUAAUAUCUCGCUGGGGCCUCCAAAUGUUAUACCUGAGCAAGUAAAGGAAUGUGCCACACUCUGAGAUUUGAGUUGUGAGUCCUUUACUGC